ACUGUUUUUAUUGUAUUUUUUUUAUCAAAUAAAUGAGACUUGUGCUUAAAAACAUAAAACUGACUAAAACUUUAUUAUCAUUAUUAUUCAUUUAUUUAUUAACCUUAUUUUAUUUUAAUGAAGUAAUGUUCUGAAUUUACCUUGUCGUCAAGUGUGGUAAAAUGUUUAGACUCGGAUACUGUAGCUUAAAUGAUGAUAAAGUGCCAUGAUGAAGACUUGAUUUGUCAAAAAGUGAAUAGCUACUGGUUUGACCUCAGUAUUCAUUCACGGAAGAGAGAAUGUUGCUGAUUGCUUUUGAUAUCAGCAUAUCGAAUGAAGUGCUGAUGAGCAUGCGAUUUACAGAACGGCCUUUAAUAGGUAACCUUGUCCCUCCAGCUGUCAGGGGAAUUCUGUGAACAAAAACAGUUCUCCUAGCUCUCUCUCUCUCUCUCUCUCUCUCUCUCUCUCUCUCUCUCUCUCUCUCUCUCUCUCUGGGUCUAGGGGAGCAGACUGGUUCUCAUGUCCUUGAGGUCUGUCAUGUUGGCAUCUUAAUUUUUCUUAGAUUUUUUGUUUGUUUGUUUUUCCUCUCUGUUGUUUGUCAACAUUGUUUUGUAUUCGUUUUGGUGUAUGGUCGUAAGGCACCCAACUUGACAGUCGUCUCAACAGGAAGAAGCGGAGUAGGUUCAUGCAAGAAGAUCCCAUGGCUCUAACUCAUGCCGGCGAAUAACAGCACAUAUGGCUGAUGACUUGCUGUGAAUGACACCAUAACGGAUGUCUAUUUUUGAUUAAUGGUGGUGUGUUGGAUAAAGCUCAACGUGGCGUCAUGUUUUUUAGAAGAGUCUUGUUUGCAAUAGGCCCCCACUGGCAACCCGCAACAGAGAUGGUCCUCACUGCAGAACAAAGAUCCGGGGAACGAGGUUUGUAUCCAGAUCCAACUCCUCCCACCUUACAAAUACCUUAACCUACCCAUCUCCACCCCCUGAUCCCUAAACCCACCCAUCUCCACCCCUAAAACUACCAUCUCCACCCCCUAGAUGUGGAUCCAACGCCGCCCUGUGGAUCUUUGUUCUGCAGUGAGGGGCUGCUGAACAUGAAGGAAUACGCCAGCCAAACAGGAGCACUUGGCCCAGAAACUUA
ensembl:lncRNA